UACGUAGGUGGCGAGCGUUGUCCGGAUUUACUGGGCGUAAAGGGAGCGUAGGCGGACUUUUAAGUGAGAUGUGAAAUACUCGGGCUCAACUUGAGUGCUGCAUUUCAAACUGGAAGUCUAGAGUGCAGGAGAGGAGAAUGGAAUUCCUAGUGUAGCGGUGAAAUGCGUAGAGAUUAGGAAGAACACCAGUGGCGAAAGCGGCUCUCUGGUCUGUAGCUGACGCUGAGGUUCGAAAGCGUGGGUAGCAAACAGG
rnacentral:rRNA from 1 species